GGUUCAAGUCCCUUUAUCCCCA
rnacentral:tRNA from 1 species